AAUUUCAAUGGAUUCAUGCCGUGAGUAAAGAUCGUUCGUUCCAGAAAGAAUUCUGGGUUUAUCUCAGAAUUCAUCUUCUCAUAAUCAUAGAAACGAAAUCCCAAGGCGGAUCGGGAUCGACAACACAGGCGAAUCGACAAAUGCUCGAGAACAUCAGGAAGCACCGGCAUUAUCGAUUUAGUAAGGCAGAAGAAUCAAAGAAAGAGAAGAUGGUAUAGGAGAGAAGAACUCACAAUGGGAGUGUCCUUGAUGCUGAGAUGCGGGAGAGGAACCGGGGGAGAAGCGAACGAUGGCGGAGACGGAGGAGAAGCGAAGGACGGAGGAGAGCCGAACGACAGACACGAAGAAACGACGGAGCAGAGCUGAAUGACAGAGACAGAGCACAGGCGAACGAUAGAGAAGCGAAAGACGGAGAGAGACCGAGAGGCGAGAAAGCUGUUCUGAAGAGGAGAGCUGUUCUGAAGGGUGAAGAAGAGGAGGCCACGAUUCAAGAGAGAGACUUAGGGUGAAUUAGGUUUAAGGGUAUUUUUGUAAAUAUAUUAAAUAGUAAGGGUAUUUUUGUA